GAUGAACGCUGGCGGCGUGCUUAAACACAUGCAAGUCGAGCGAUGAAGUUUCCUUUCGGAAAAUGGAUUAGCGGCGGACGGGUGAGUAACACGUGGGUAACUGCCUCAUAGAGUGGAAUAGCCUUCCGAAAGGGAGAUUAAUACCGCAUAAUGUUGAAAGAUGGCAUCAUCAUUUAACCAAAGGAGCAAUCCGCUAUGAGAUGGACCCGCGGCGCAUUAGCUAGUUGGUGGGGUAAAGGCCUACCAAGGCGACGAUGCGUAGCCGACCUGAGAGGGUGAUCGGCCACAUUGGGACUGAGACACGGCCCAGACUCCUACGGGAGGCAGCAGUGGGGGAUAUUGCACAAUGGGGGAAACCCUGAUGCAGCAACGCCGCGUGAGUGAUGAAGGUUUUCGGAUCGUAAAGCUCUGUCUUUGGGGAAGAUAAUGACGGUACCCAAGGAGGAAGCCACGGCUAACUACGUGCCAGCAGCCGCGGUAAUACGUAGGUGGCGAGCGUUAUCCGGAUUUACUGGGCGUAAAGGGAGCGUAGGCGGAUGAUUAAGUGGGAUGUGAAAUACCCAGGCUCAACUUGGGUGCUGCAUUCCAAACUGGUUAUCUAGAGUGCAGGAGAGGAGAGUGGAAUUCCUAGUGUAGCGGUGAAAUGCGUAGAGAUUAGGAAGAACACCAGUGGCGAAGGCGACUCUCUGGACUGUAACUGACGCUGAGGCUCGAAAGCGUGGGGAGCAAACAGG
rnacentral:rRNA from 1 species